AUUGAACGCUGGCGGUAGGCUUAACACAUGCAAGUCGUGCGAGAAAGUAUCUUAGGAUAUGAGUAGAGCGGCGGACGGGUGAGUAACGCGUAGGAAUCUACCUAGUAGAAGGGGAUAGCCCGGGGAAACUCGGAUUAAUACCGUAUACCUCCUUCGGGAGAAAGAAGGCCUCUCUUCGAAGCUUUCGCUAUUAGAUGAGCCUGCGUAAGAUUAGCUUGUUGGUGAGGUAAAGGCUCACCAAGGCUACGAUCUUUAGCUGGUCUGAGAGGACGAUCAGCCACAUUGGGACUGAGACACGGCCCAGACUCCUACGGGAGGCAGCAGUGGGGAAUAUUGGACAAUGGGCGCAAGCCUGAUCCAGCCAUACCGCGUGUGUGAAGAAGGCCUUCGGGUUGUAAAGCACUUUAAGCAGGGAGAAAAAGUUAUAGGUUAAUACCCUAUGACCCUGAUGUUACCUGCAGAAUAAGCACCGGCUAAUUCCGUGCCAGCAGCCGCGGUAAUACGGAAGGUGCAAGCGUUAAUCGGAAUUACUGGGCGUAAAGCGCGCGUAGGUGGUUUGUUAAGUUGGAUGUGAAAGCCCUGGGCUCAACCUAGGAACUGCAUCCAAAACUAACUCACUAGAGUACGAUAGAGGGAGGUAGAAUUCAUAGUGUAGCGGUGGAAUGCGUAGAUAUUAUGAAGAAUACCAGUGGCGAAGGCGGCCUCCUGGAUCUGUACUGACACUGAGGUGCGAAAGCGUGGGUAGCGAACAGGAUUAGAUACCCUGGUAGUCCACGCCGUAAACGAUGACAACUAGCUGUUGGGAGACUAUGUCUUUCAGUGGCGCAGCUAACGCUUUAAGUUGUCCGCCUGGGGAGUACGGCCGCAAGGCUA
rnacentral:rRNA from 1 species